UUGACGAUGGAUCACCAGUGAAUGGCGGACGGGUGACUAACACGUAGGUAACCUGCCCCGGAGCGGGGGAUAACAUUUGGAAACAGAUGCUAAUACCGCAUAACAACAAAAGCCACAUGGCUUUUGUUUGAAAGAUGGCUUUGGCUAUCACUCUGGGAUGGACCUGCGGUGCAUUAGCUAGUUGGUAAGGUAACGGCUUACCAAGGCGAUGAUGCAUAGCCGAGUUGAGAGACUGAUCGGCCACAAUGGAACUGAGACACGGUCCAUACUCCUACGGGAGGCAGCAGUAGGGAAUCUUCCACAAUGGGCGCAAGCCUGAUGGAGCAACACCGCGUGAGUGAAGAAGGGUUUCGGCUCGUAAAGCUCUGUUGUUGGAGAAGAACGUGCGUGAGAGUAACUGUUCACGCAGUGACGGUAUCCAACCAGAAAGUCACGGCUAACUACGUGCCAGCAGCCGCGGUAAUACGUAGGUGGCAAGCGUUAUCCGGAUUUAUUGGGCGUAAAGCGAGCGCAGGCGGUUGCUUAGGUCUGAUGUGAAAGCCUUCGGCUUAACCGAAGAAGUGCAUCGGAAACCGGGCGACUUGAGUGCAGAAGAGGACAGUGGAACUCCAUGUGUAGCGGUGGAAUGCGUAGAUAUAUGGAAGAACACCAGUGGCGAAGGCGGCUGUCUGGUCUGCAACUGACGCUGAGGCUCGAAAGCAUGGGUAGCGAACAGGAUUAGAUACCCUGGUAGUCCAUGCCGUAAACGAUGAGUGCUAGGUGUUGGAGGGUUUCCGCCCUUCAGUGCCGGAGCUAACGCAUUAAGCACUCCGCCU
rnacentral:rRNA from 1 species